AUUGAACGCUGGCGGCAUGCCUUACACAUGCAAGUCGAACGGUAACAGGUCUUCGGAUGCUGACGAGUGGCGAACGGGUGAGUAAUACAUCGGAACGUGCCUAGUAGUGGGGGAUAACUACUCGAAAGAGUGGCUAAUACCGCAUGAGAUCUACGGAUGGAAGCAGGGGAUCGCAAGACCUUGUGCUACUCGAGCGGCCGAUGGCAGAUUAGGUUGUUGGUGGGAUAAAAGCUUACCAAGCCGACGAUCUGUAGCUGGUCUGAGAGGACGAUCAGCCACACUGGGACUGAGACACGGCCCAGACUCCUACGGGAGGCAGCAGUGGGGAAUUUUGGACAAUGGGCGAAAGCCUGAUCCAGCAAUGCCGCGUGCAGGAUGAAGGCCUUCGGGUUGUAAACUGCUUUUGUACGGAACGAAAAGCCCCGGGUUAAUACCCUGGGGUCAUGACGGUACCGUAAGAAUAAGCACCGGCUAACUACGUGCCAGCCGCCGCAGUAA
rnacentral:rRNA from 1 species